rnacentral:rRNA from 1 species
UACAGAGGUCCCAAGCGUUGUUCGGAUUCAUUGGGCGUAAAGGGUGCGUAGGCGGCGCGGUAAGUCGGGUGUGAAAUCUCGGGGCUUAACUCCGAAACUGCAUUCGAUACUGCCGUGCUUGAGGACUGGAGAGGAGACUGGAAUUUACGGUGUAGCGGUGAAAUGCGUAGAUAUCGUAAGGAAGACCAGUGGCGAAGGCGGGUCUCUGGACAGUUCCUAACGCUGAGGCACGAAGGCCAGGGGAGCAAACGGG